rnacentral:rRNA from 1 species
CCUACGGGUGGCAGCAGUGAGGAAUAUUGGUCAAUGGUCGUACGCCUGAACCAGCCAAGCCGCGUGAGGGAAGAAGGUCCUAAGUAUUGUAAACCUCUUUUGUCAGGGAGCAAUGACCGCUACGUGUACCGUUAUCAGUAUACCUUGAGGAAAAACCAUCGAUCAACCCCGUGCCACGACCGCCGGUAAACGGGAGGAUGCGAGUGUUACCCGGAUUUGUGGGGUUAAAGGGAUGCGUAGGCGGCAUUCCAAGUCAGCGUCAAAAGCGCGGGGCUAAACCCCGCUCCGCCGUUGAAACUGGCGGUCUUGAGUGGGAGAGAAGUAUGCGGAAUGCGCGGUGUAGCGGUGAAAUGCAUAGAUAUCGCGCAGAACUCCGAUUGCGAAGGCAGCAUACCGGCGCCAAACUGACGCUGAGGCACGAAAGCGUGGGUAUCGAACAGGAUUAGAUACCCGAGUAGUC